ACAAAUUAGGGUUUCAAUUGGUGUCUUUGGUAUUCCAGAAGAGUAACUCUGCAAAGCACUUUGGAUGUUCAGAAAUUGGAUUGACCUCUUUGAUGCUAGGUUCGAAAAACGUAAAAAAAUGAAAACAUGAGGAGCUCAAACACGGUUCUUUUCACGUGGCCUUGGCUUUGCUUGGAUUUGUUGCUACUUUUUCUCCUUUGUUUUUUGGAUGAUUUACCCUUCUUACUACCUUUCCCUUCUGGUUGUGUAGAAGAUGACUCUUUAUUCUGUGAGGUCUCGACAGGAAUGCCUAGCUCUGAAAGUGAGCUCUCAAGUGCUGACUUAGAUUGAAGUUUUGCCAUCUGUUGGUCAUCGAGAAUAUGUCCUUUAGACUGCUUAGUUUCGAGCAUCUCAAUCUGCUGCAACUUCUUCCUUAUAGCUCGAACUACUUUGGAGAUUUCACUAUCAGGAUCAUCC